rnacentral:rRNA from 1 species
UACGUAGGUGGCAAGCGUUGUCCGGAUUUAUUGGGCGUAAAGAGCGUGUAGGCGGCUUGGUAGGUCCGCUGUGAAAACUCGAGGCUCAACCUCGAGAUGUCGGCGGAAACCACUUGGCUAGAGUCCGGAAGAGGAGAGUGGAAUUCCCGGUGUAGCGGUGAAAUGCGCAGAUAUCGGGAAGAACACCUAUGGCGAAGGCAGCUCUCUGGGACGGUACUGACGCUGAGACGCGAAAGCGUGGGGAGCGAACAGG